rnacentral:lncRNA from 1 species
UUUGAACAUUAAUGGAACACAUCUUUAGGUGCAAGAAUAGGAGACUGGACUUUCUGAGGGUCUUCAGAAUUAUUUCACAGAGGUUCAUUAAACACAUGAAUGCAGAAUAUAAGCAUAAUAUUUUUUAAUCUCAAUUUGAGGGUUUUUUUAAGAAGAUAUAAACACCACACAGAAAUGGAGCAGGAAGACUCCACUGAAGAGGAGACAUAUGGCAGCUAAGUAAACAAUUCACCAUAAACCUGUAGGGUUAUGCAUCACUUCCGGGAGCAUAAGACAUUUCCCCAUCGCCCAAUGCAAAGGCAUGAUACAAUAGUUGCAUUGAUUAUCUUCACACAUCCAGGACAGUAUAACUCACAACAAUAACUCUUUCUCAAAAACACAACUCCUAUCCUAAUCCCAAAAUAAACUCUUUCUUUUGAUAGAUAAAAUAACACACGUUUUCAAUGAAGUCAACAUUGACUCUACUGGGCUGACUGACACAAACCAUAUUAAUGGAAAAAUCUUAAAAUAUAUAGGCAUACUUCUAAUUUUGAGGUUUAUAAACAUCCUACCUUGACAGAAUGAGAACUUGCUUAAAAUAGAAGUAAAAUUCAAUUUGGUAAAGCCUUUAUUCAACUAGCGCUCUGAAGAGAUUAUUUCUCAGAUCUGAAUUUUCUAAUAGACUACAACAAAUUCACACAAAUGUCACUGCAGAUAGAAUGAAUGUUUUUUCAUGCCAGUGUCACUCACCCUUGCCUGCCUGCACCCCCUCCCCCAAGGCUUUUCAAAAUGUAUUUCAUACACAGAGUCACUGUUCUGGUUGUUUAUUUAAUUAACAUGACAGCCCAGCAUACACAGCAUUUCUUUCAGUUCUACAGUUUUAACUUUUUACACUUUCGACUCAAUACAGAAAGAGUAAAAUUACUGUUUUCACUCCUUCCAGCCUCUGUAAAUUUAUAUAGAUUCACUGACUAUUUAUGUCACUUAAAAAACUUUUUCAGUAUGCUUUAAAUAUCUGUAUUCACAAAGUAAAAUUACAAUUUUUGUCCCCCCGACACACAAAAAAUUCUUUUCCUUCACCUUUCCCAAGGGAUAAGGAAAUCUUGUUUUCCCUUUUCAGUAUUUUCAGAAAUUGACAUUAAUUAAUUUUAAUUCUGUCACCAAGUCAUAAGUAAUCAAUAUUGCUCUUUGAAUCACCAUAAACUGAGUAACACUACUGAAAUGUAGAAGCUACAAUUUAAUUAAAAGUCCGUGAUUAUUUCUGAAACUUACUCAAUUUGAACAAUAUGUUACAUUGACAGGCAUUUAGGAAUUUAAACAAUGUAUUCUACAUUUUGAGAAGAAAUAAGCAAGUUUUUUGUCAAAGAAUAACAAUGCCUCCCAUCCAGUGCCUACCAUCAAACACCAUACCCAUUUCUCCUAUUUUUGCUUUGCUGUUGUUUGCUUUCUCUCCUAAAAGUGUCUUUCUCACAUCAGUGGUGAAAAACUUGACUCUUCUUUCGACAACUAAGAUCAAAAUGGAUGAUGUUGUAUCCAUCCCAAAAAAAUGUUGUCAUUAAGUGGUACAAAUGCAUUAACGGAGACAGUCAUAUGCCUUUGUAUUUACCUGAAACCACAGGUAAAAAUAUAAAAUUUUCCUUAACAGGUAACUAAAAUAAAAUUGCAUUGGUUUGAAAUCUUUCAAAAGUGAAUGUGUAAGGUGGUCUCAGUAAUUAGAGAAGAAUGAGCAGCCAAUUAUAGUUCUUUAUUUAUAAAGAGAAUGGAGAGACACCCCUUCAAAUACAAUUUGCAAUAACAAAAAAAUUGCAAAAUUAAAAUUUUACAUUGAAAAAUAACAUAUUAAUCAUGCAUAAUAUCUAAUACUCCAAGAAAGUCUAGGUACCUCUGUAUAUUCCCAUGUUUCGGGCCGAGGGCACAGUGGUACUUUGAGAGAGACAUAUCUGCUCUGGGAUGCGAAAGUCCACUUAGAAAAGAUACACACACCUUAACAGACACUUGCCUUCUUAACACUGGCAGCCAAAAAAGUAGUUUGACACACUCAUCUACAAAAUCAGCCUCAGUAUUGCGGACACUGGGUUGUCAGGACUAAACUAAAAGCUAAACAAACUUUAUAGUUCUUUAAACUUUAAAGAACUAUAAACUUUGUUUUUUCCUGAGAAUAAAGAUAUUUCCACUUGCAUUCACAGACACCAGUGCUACAGACUUACAGUUCUUGAAAGAAAAAAAGGGAGGGAGAGAGAAAAAUGUAUCUGUCAAUUGGUUUCUCUUAUGAGAAUUUUUAUCAUAUAUUCUCUUUGCACUUUUGGAACUGAGGGUCACUGAAGAGGGAUAGUUCAUCAGUAACCAGCCACUGCCAUUCAUACAGAGAAGAAAAUGAUGAAAUUCUCUCACUGGUAAGCCUCACAAUGAGCAAAGUGCAAAUAAAUUCUCAAGAGGACUCUGACAGACUGUGCGUUUAAGUUCUUAAAUGACUAUUUAAAAUUCACUUGUUGCCUAUGAGUAUUGUCUUGAGUUGAAAGUAGACAUUCCUUCAGAAAAAAAGCAGAUGACAUUCAGGGGAGUGUUAUAUACUUAUUUUAUAAUUAUUUUGAUGUUUGACUUCACAAAGUAUGCAAAUGACAGUGGUACACUUUGCACCCUUAAUCAGAAGUUUGUUUCCUUAUGAUAAAACAGAUAAGCCAUUUACUGUGGGUAGCUCCUGAACUUUUCACACAGUAAGGCUAACGUAUAUGAGAUACUGUCCUAUCUUAUAAGAUAGUACACUGUGUUAGUUUCCACCCACUCCCCACAAUUAUGCUCAGCAACAACUUUUAAUGGGUCAUAUAUAAAAACCAGUCUUCAGUGACACGCACACACUCACCCAUGCCCUCAUUAAAACUUCAAGUAUCUCAAUUUCUGCUAAAUGUAUUCUUGUGUUUCCAUCAAGCAUAAGACAAAGUUUCCCACUUUAGAAUAAUCUUCAUUAACACAGUCUUUAAAAAAAAUAGUGACCAAAGAAAAUUACAGAAAUAGAUUGCGAUUAUGCAUUUUCCAACAGCAUUAAUCAGCAAAACAUUAAAUAUGCAAUGCUUAUUUUGAUAACUUCGUAGAUAAUUCAAAUUCUCCAUUUAUCAAUUUAAACCAGAGAAACCCAAUAAAAAUGUGUGGGUUAAAUGAAUGCUGCUGGUUAAUUUACCUAACCACCUUCUUAUCUUCUAUCCACCCUUAAUUUCUUAACUUAUAAAUGUUAAUAUAAAAUUUUAAAAAAUAAUUCCACAGGGUAAAUGAUAUCAAUUUGGAAUCAAGUUGUGAUUAAAUCCCAGAUUUUCCUUAGAAAUUAUGGUUGUGAAUUUUGCAAUAGUAACAUCCUAUUUCCCUAUAAGUUAAUGAAUAGUGUAUUCUGAACAUACUUAAAGCGGUGGUGUUUUCAUUUAAGACAUUCUCUCCCAUAACUGUGAAAAGAAAUUAAAAUGGUUAGUUUACCCUCAAAUAGAUAACUUACUCCAUUUUAACAAUUUCCAAAUUUUUACCAAAACUAUCAGUCAGUGGCCUGUUUUCCCCUCCACUCUUAGAGUAAGCUUAAAGACAAGAAACAUUUGUUUUAUCGAAACAAAAAGCAAAUAACUACAUUUGCUUUAAAAUAAACAGACUAUGAUGCUGUCAUCUACUCUGCUCAAUAAUGUCAAACAGCCAUAGAUCUGUGUAAUCAACUCCAUUUCAGAAACCAACUAGCCACCCACACCAUAUGGUGACUGCUAUUUCUUAGAAAUACCCAAAUGAUUAUCCACAGAAUAACCUAAAAAGAAAAAGCUUACUUUAUCUUAGGAUAUUCUCUUGCUCCCUAAAGUUGUCCUAAUAGUACCACAGGUAGGCAUUAAUUUAAAGGGAAAAAUGUAAAUUUCCACUUGCUGUAUCCAACCAGCUCCUCCUCCCCAUCAAGUGUCAAAUCCACUUCAAAUAGAGAGGUGAACAAAUCUGCUUCAACUAGGGAGGCAUACCCUUCGGUAUGCUUUUUUAGACACCGUAUGCAUUUAAAAUUGGGAUUUGUUCCUUUAUGCCCUUUAUAGCAACUGUUCUAUAGUUUUAAAUCACUUAAUGAUAAUAAGGAGACUCAUCCCCAAAAGUGACUAAAGUUUUAUUUACAACUUUAUAAUCCCAGGUUCCUCCUCCUCCCACGUUGUGGGAAGAUAUACAUCUCCAGCAAUCUUAGAAAUGGCCUCCCGAAUUAGUAUUUCCUGUAAAAUCUGCAUAAAUCCAUUUGAAUUUAUAAAUAUCCACUUAAGUAUGCACAUACUAAAGAGAACUGUUUUGUUUUUAGUUGACACUAAAACGCAGUUGACAAUUUUGAACAAUUCCAAAGUUCAGACAUAUUAUUCCCCAAGUUGAAGUUUGUGAUACAAAACACACUAGCAUGUAAUAAUGUAUGCCCCUAAAUUAUAUUUAAAAACAAAUUGGGCACCAUCAGCUGCAGUCUCUCCAAAUAAAACUUACUGCAAAACCAGAAAAUGUGUAUCAAUUCCUCACCUUCAAGCACAGCUUGCUUUGCUCUAGAAUCUUUUUACUGGUUUUCAUAAAUGUUUAAUAUCAUUUCAUUAAAAAGAUUUUACUUUUUAAAAAGUAGAAAUCUAGUAAAAUCUAUGUGUUAAAAAAAUCACUCAUUGCUAAAAUCUAAACUUAAUUCUAAAAUUUCUGCUAAGGAAGGAAAGCGUAAGAGUACUGAAAAGAGUAGGCAAGCCAUACACCAGGUGUAGCAGAUCUAAAAAGUUGGCCCAGCUGUGGAAGACCCUACACAUGCCAUCUAGUUUUGUUAAUUGUGUUUCAGUCGUUCAGGUUAUAAAACUACUGUGUGAAAGAGAGGGCAAAAAAACAAAAAAAAAAAAACAAAAAAAACAAAAAAAAAACCUGCUAGUUUCUUAAUUCUGAAGUUAGACCAGUUUUCUAGGCUAUCUUCCCUUUAGUUCCCAGCGCUCGGAUUCUCUCCACUCUGCGCCGGUUGCCAAGUGUUUCAAGUUUCCAAGAGCCGAGAGAGGAGUUGCCAGUGCUUACCUGUUCCCUCGGUAUACAGGGCAGGGAGGUCCUCCGAUGGGACUUGCUGCUGCAGCCGGACAUCUCGGCGG